UUUAUUUUGCAAUCACCAGGUUGAAUGAAGGCGAUCAAAUCCGAAUUUAAGCUGUCGGUCGUUACGCUGUGCACUGUGAUCGCAGCUUCUAUGAGUAGAGGAAGAAGCAACAAGCCAACGAAAUGAGGAAGAGUUGAAGAAGAAGAAAUCUCCAUCCACCCGAUCUCCGUCUACUCAAACACACACACCUGGUCAAAGAGAGCAUGUUUCCAACCCUUCCUCCUCUGUCUCCUCUUCAUCGCCAUCAACUUUACUUAUCGACACAUCACAGCAAACUACUGGAAGUCGUACUGUUAUGAAUCUGUUAUCUGUAAAGAAAUUGCAAUAGAUGAUUGUAAAAAUAAAAAGUGUGGUUUUGUGCAUCGUGUGUAAAAAAAACGAACCCAAAAAAACCAAACGUGUGUUUCCAGCUGUAGUGUUUGUUGUAUUUGUUGCAUAGUUAUUGUUGGUGUUUCCUCACAAACACAAGCGGAGCGAACACAUCUGGAUAUAUAAAUACGAGUUGAGAGGCUUUUAGUAAAUGUGCAGUGGUUGUAAAUGUAGACCUUUAAAUAUGCAGUGUUCAUGUUCUGUAUAUAGUAUAUAUAGACUAAAUGCAGUAUCAGAAUACGUUUAAAGGAUGGAGUUUAUUUCCUAUCAGUAUGGGGACUCUUCUUCCCCGUGUCUCAUGAGAUGUUUCUGUGACAGUGAGUUUCGGAGUGUGUGUAGUAUUCAGUACAGUUCAGUCGAGAUGUCGUAGCGACAGUGUUAACGAUUUAAAAAAUAUAUAAAUUUGGCACUUCGAAACAUCGACUCAAAUAAACUUUUAGACGUCUUGUCUUGGAAACUCGA